AAUUCGCCCUUUCCGGUUGAUCCUGGCGGAGGUUACUGCUAUCGAGGUUCGACUAAGCCAUGCGAGUCGAAUGUAGCAAUACAUGGCGAACUGCUCAGUAACACGUGGACAACCUGCCCUUAGGACGGGGAUAAACCCGGGAAACUGGGUAUAAUACCCGAUAGGUCUCGAUUGCUGGAAUGCAUCGAGAUUUAAAGCUCCGGCGCCUAAGGAUGGGUCUGCGGCCUAUCAGGUAGUAGUGGGUGUAGCGUACCUACUAGCCUACGACGGGUACGGGUUGUGAGAGCAAGAGCCCGGAGAUGGAUUCUGAGACACGAAUCCAGGCCCUACGGGGUGCAGCAGGCGCGAAAACUUUACAAUGCUGGCAACAGCGAUAAGGGAACCUCGAGUGCCAGGUUACAAAUCUGGCUGUCGAGAUGCCUAAAAAGCAUUUCAUAGCAAGGGCCGGGCAAGACCGGUGCCAGCCGCCGCGGUAACACCGGCGGCUCGAGUGGUAACCGUUAUUAUUGGGUCUAAAGGGUCUGUAGCCGGCCGGAUAAGUCUCUUGAGAAAUCUGGCAGCUUAGCUGUCAGGCUUUCAGGAGAUACUGUCUGGCUCGAGGCCGGGAGAGGUGAGAGGUACUUCAGGGGUAGGGGUGAAAUCUUGUAAUCCUUGAAGGACCACCAGUGGCGAAGGCGUCUCACCAGAACGGACCUGACGGCAAGGGACGAAAGCUAGGGGCACGAACCGGAUUAGAUACCCGGGUAGUCCUAGCCGUAAACGAUACUCGCUAGGUGUCGGCCACGGUGCGACCGUUGUCGGUGCCGUAGGGAAGCCGUGAAGCGAGCCACCUGGGAAGUACGGCCGCAAGGCUGAAACUUAAAGGAAUUGGCGGGGGAGCACCACAACGGGUGGAGCUUGCGGUUUAAUUGGAUUCAACGCCGGAAAUCUUACCGGGACCGACAGCAAUAUGAAGGCCAGGCUGAAGACUUUGCCGGAUUAGCUGAAAGGUGGUGCAUGGCCGUCGUCAGUUCGUACUGUGAAGCAUCCUGUUAAGUCAGGCAACGAGCG
rnacentral:rRNA from 1 species